rnacentral:lncRNA from 1 species
AAGAAGACGCCCAAUGGGGGGAAAACACCCAAAGGAAGUAAAGGUGGACACUUGUGUUUCAAACUGAGAACUUGUAACUGAGAAUGUUCCAAAUGUUCAAGAAGGAAUGGCCAGAGUUUAGGGGUUGUUGGAAGGUGGAAGGCCACUGAGACAUUAGAGGAACUCUGUCUCACACUUGCCACUGAUAUGGUCUACUCACUCUCUGCUGGGAAGCCUGAGGAAGAAGCAGACAGGUGAGAAUCCUCAGUUAUAGCCUUGGAAGCUCACCAGAACAAGGAUGGAAAUUCCCAAGCUGCCUGUGUGGCUGUCCAUCGAUGAGUCAUUUAUAGCCCAAAG